CAAACAGAGGUGAAUUUUUGUUAAUAAUUUGAUUGGGUACCCCCCUCUUCUGUAAAUUUAAUUCUAGCUUCAAACAUAGAUUAUUUUUAUUAUGUAUAAAAUUACAAGAUUAAUUUUUUAACUAUUUAGCACAAAAAUUUUACUUUCCGAUUAAGUCGCAUAAGUAAACAAAUGGUCAAUUAGGUGCCAGCAUUCGCGGUUACACCUAUAUUUAAUAUGUCGUCCGUGGUUUAGGGUCACUAUGGCCAAAAUAAAAGACAUUAGAGGUAAAAUUCAACUAAUCUUUACUGAAAUAGCCACCUUAAAAACUAAAUAAUAAACAGGGAUUAGACACCCCCCUAUAUAACAUAAAAUAUAACCCAGGGUAGUACUUGAUACAACCACCAAACCCAAAGAAUUUGGCGGCAGUCAACCUUUCCAGAGAGACCUGUACAUUAAUUUGAUAGCCCACCCUGCACCUUACUUUAAUUAAAAUUUGCAUACCGUCAUCUAAAUUUUACUAUUAAGUAAACAUUACCAAGGGCACAAAAAUGUUAGAUCAACGCGCAAUGAAUAUAAAAGCUUAAUAUGGGUCUCAGUUUAUAGUAAAUGAAUAUAAUUUAAAAUAAUUUUUUAGAAAGAGGAUUUGGGUGUAAUAUAGUUUUAGAAUGACUUUAUGACUAAGCCAUUGACUGUGUACAUAUCGCCCGUCGCCCUCGAACCGAGGUAAGUCGUAACAUAGUAGAAGUACUAGAAAGUGUUUCUUUAAUAAU
rnacentral:rRNA from 1 species